CGCGGUGAUUUAACAGCUUUUGUUUUGGGCAGAAGAACCUAUGGGCACAAAAAGCAGGAACGAGUAGCGGUGGCUGAAGAACGAGCAGGAGCUUGAAUUUCAGUUUUCCUAUGAGGAAUUUUCCAGAAAAGAUAUCUUCACUGUGAAAUAACUAAAUAAAUGCCCACUCAGUACAACAGUGCCGAUGUAAUAGUAACAAAAAUUCUCAGCCUCAUUUAAGAUAAAAGGCCAUCAUCAGACAAUGCAGGACAGAUUGUAGCAAUAGGAAGUACUACAGAGAUUCAGAGAAUGCCAUAAAUAACCUUGGAAUCCUGUGCUUGGUUUUGUUCUCAAAGAAUUCCAGAUAUGAUUUUUUUCCAGACAAAAAUACCUGCUACAUGCUUCCUUCUGUAUGAAUACGAGACCUACCUUCAUUCAUGUUUCCUCUAUGAAGCUUUCCCUGAGCUCCAAACACAGAGCUGAGACUUCCACCUAAUGUAGAAAGCUAG
rnacentral:antisense_RNA from 1 species